AGGACACCACGUGGAAGACUGCCCGACCUUGCAGGUUGUGCUGUGACCAGGAAAUGACUACUGUGUGCACAGGUGUGCCCUGGAACAGUGAGCUGCAGCACAACUCAGAACUCUUCCUGGGGGUCAGGAUCCUGCCCAGCACCAGAGUAUGAAGGCAGUGUGCAAGGAAAGGGCCCACAGAGACUGCUGAAGUGUGUGAAGAGGAAAAAUAACACAAUGAGGAAAAAAUACGAAAAAGCAACUAGUGCCAUGAAUAAUCCUGAAAUAUGAAUAAAUAUAUGUAUUUGGACAAAGUGAGAACUGCUUAAUAUAAAACCCUCAACAGGAAAGCAGAGCUUAAAGCAGACUUAAGGGCAGCAAUAGAUGAUGAGUAGUUUUACACAGGAGUGAUCUGCAUUCGUGACGGGUUGGAUGAUGUGGAGCAGAGCAAGCCAGGACAGCUCAUGUGCUGUGGAAAACUGAACUGGGUUAUGUGGAAUGGCACUGGAUGGUACUGAUGCUGAACCCCUUGGCAUCCCCAAGGUCACCGAGGUGGGCAGGUCCCCCCGUGGGCUCUGCGCUCUCAGCUCCGCAGCCCAGCGCACCAAAAGCACUUGGCUCCCACCGCGGUGAGAGGCGUUCGCUAAUUAAACCUUCCCUCGUCUGUGGGAGGGAGCACAUCCGAAAUGCCUCCUGCGUACAAAGAGCCUUUACACGCGUGCUCCUUUGGAGACUUGAGAUAUGCGAAGGAUGUAGCAGCAGUUUGUGCCAGGUAAUGGAUCAAAGCUCUCCCGGCUGCCAUGGCUGAAGACCUGGUUUAACCUUUACACUCUUGAAGCCAUUUCAUGGGGAUUAAAAAGGAAUUGGAAUAAAAGGGAGCUCUUAAUUUCUUGGCCA
rnacentral:lncRNA from 1 species